GCCCUGGUGGUGAAAUUGGUAGACACAUCGCACUUAAAAUGCGCCGCCUUCUGGGCGUGCCGGUUCGAGUCCGGCCCGGGGCACCA
rnacentral:tRNA from 1 species